GAUGAACGCUAGCGGGAGGCUUAACACAUGCAAGUCGAGGGGCAGCAUAGGGUAGCAAUACUCUGAUGGCGACCGGCAAACGGGUGAGUAACGCGUAUGCAACCUACCCUGUACAGGGGGAUAACCCGGAGAAAUUCGGACUAAUAUCCCGUAAUAAUAUCCGGAGGCAUCUUUGGAUAUUUAAAGUUUCGACGGUACGGGAUGGGCAUGCGUGACAUUAGCUGGUUGGUAAGGUAACGGCUUACCAAGGCUAUGAUGUUUAGGGGUCCUGAGAGGGUGGUCCCCCACACUGGUACUGAGACACGGACCAGACUCCUACGGGAGGCAGCAGUGAGGAAUAUUGGUCAAUGGGCGCAAGCCUGAACCAGCCAUCCCGCGUGCAGGGAGACGGCCCUAUGGGUUGUAAACUGCUUUUCCAGGGAGAGAAACUUACGCACGUGUUGCGUGACUGACGGUACCCUGGGAAUAAGCAUCGGCUAACUCCGUGCCAGCAGCCGCGGUAAACA
rnacentral:rRNA from 1 species